rnacentral:rRNA from 1 species
UGGGGAAUUUUGGACAAUGGGCGAAAGCCUGAUCCAGCAAUGCCGCGUGUGUGAAGAAGGCCUUCGGGUUGUAAAGCACUUUUGUCCGGAAAGAAAUCCUUGGCUCUAAUACAGUCGGGGGAUGACGGUACCGGAAGAAUAAGCACCGGCUAACUACGUGCCAGCAGCCGCGGUAAUACGUAGGGUGCAAGCGUUAAUCGGAAUUACUGGGCGUAAAGCGUGCGCAGGCGGUUUGCUAAGACCGAUGUGAAAUCCCCGGGCUCAACCUGGGAACUGCAUUGGUGACUGGCAGGCUAGAGUAUGGCAGAGGGGGGUAGAAUUCCACGUGUAGCAGUGAAAUGCGUAGAGAUGUGGAGGAAUACCGAUGGCGAAGGCAGCCCCCUGGGCCAAUACUGACGCUCAUGCACGAAAGCGUGGGGAGCAAACAGGAUUAGAUACCCUGGUAGUCCACGCCCUAAACGAUGUCAGCUAGUUGUUGGGGAUUCAUUUCCUUAGUAACGUAGCUAACGCGUGAAGUUGACCGCCUGGGGGAGUACGGUCGCAAGAUUAAAACUUAAAUGAAUUGACGGGGUCAUAGCUGUUUCCU